rnacentral:lncRNA from 1 species
AUUUGGUUAGGAUUUGAUUUAGGAAUUAGGGUUUGAUUUAGGGUUUGUUUAGAAUUUGAUUUAAGAUUAGGAUUUGGUUAGAGUUUAGGAUUUGAUUUAGGAUUUUUUUAAGAUUUGGUUAGAGUUUGGUUUAUGGUUUAGGGUUUGAUUUAGGAUUUAGGAUUUUAUUAGGAUUUUUUUAGGAUUUGAGAUUUUAUUAGUUUUGGCCUAAACUUUGAAUGAGGUCCAAUAGGAUUUUAACUAGGAUUAAAUUAAGGUUGAAUUGAAAUAUAUUUGUGAUCAUUCUUAUAUUUCUUUAAGAUUUCUUAUUGUUUCUUUUUUAAUUUCUUUGAGGUUUCUUUGAAUUUGAUUAAAGCUUGUUUUGCAUUCCUAUGGUCUAAUUGGAGUUUAGUUAAUAUUCUAUUAGAGUUAAGAUUUUGUUGUUACAAUUUUUAUUCUACCUUCCACAGCCAAGUAUCCAAAGCAUUUUCAAGCAAGACUUCACGUAUUAUGACAACGUAGCAAGAACAUUCAUAAUGGCAUCCAACUUAGACUCUGAACUUCAGUCAUACUAAUAUCUUGACCUUUGGCCAUUCUAAAAGAAAGAAAAAA